rnacentral:rRNA from 1 species
UACGUAGGGUGCAAGCGUUUAAUCGGAAUUACUGGGCGUAAAGCGUGCGCAGGCGGUUUUUGUAAGUCUGUCGUGAAAUCCCCGGGCUCAACCUGGGAAUUGCGAUGGAGACUGCAAGGCUAGAAUCUGGCAGAGGGGGGGUAGAAUUCCACGUGUAGCAGUGAAAUGCGUAGAGAUGUGGAGGAACACCGAUGGCGAAGGCAGCCCCCUGGGUCAAGAUUGACGCUCAUGCACGAAAGCGUGGGGAGCAAACGAAGGAUUA